UGAAGUCGGAAUUGCUAGUAAUCGCGGAUCAGCAUGCCGCGGUGAAUACGUUCCCGGGCCUUGUACACACCGCCCGUCACACCAUGGGAGCCGGUAAUACCCGAAGUCAGUAGUCCAACCUCGUGAGGACGCUGCCGAAGGUAGGAUUGGCGACUGGGGUGAAGUCGUAACAAGGUAGC
rnacentral:rRNA from 1 species